AUGGUCCAGACCCCGCGAGGCGCCGACUAGCCCAAAUCCACAACGCUUGUGACAGCGGAAGCGGCCAAGAAAAGUCCCUUGGCGCUCUUUCUCCGCCCUCUCCCAGAGGGGCUGCCCUGGCCGCCAGCCCCAACCAUUUGCUUUUAGUUAACUGGUCACAAAGCAUCUCCCUCCAAGAAGACUAAGAGUAGAGGCAGCGCUGCGGGUCAGAAAGGUGAUAAGGGGAGCAGCAGGGUGCUAGGCACACCCUAGCCAAACACAGAUUCAAGAACUAGAAGUUACCCAAGGAGCAAUCCCUUCACACCUGCUUGCACUAAUUUGUGGCUGAAUGCUCAGGCUACUAGCUCAUUAAAAACUCCUGCCAACAGGCUCUAGCUCUGUCUUGCAGGGGGUAUAAAUGGGCCAGUAGCUAGGUCAGUGGUCCAGGCAGCACCUGGAAUUGGAAAGUCAGGCUCCUUCUUCCCCUUUCUCCACCUCUGCCUCCCCAGGUCUUGGCUGUCCAGAGACCCAGCCUCUAGCGUAAGCCCCAAAGCGUAAGCCCCAAACCCCCACCCCAACACACACACUGGAAACUCCAAGUACUGUCUGGUGGGAAAAGCUUCAUCCCUGAAUAGUCCCUUGCUAAAGAAACGUGUAUAAAUAUCUAGAUGUCAUCUUUCUCUCUAAUAUAUAUAGAUAUAGAUAUAUUGGUUUCUGCAUGGGCGUGUGUAAAUAUAUGUUCCAGCCUCCCUACUGUCUUUUUCUCCCAUCUACUGUAUAGGAUUUUUAGAGUGUGACUGUCCCUUAGCAAAUGUUGGCCAGCAUAGGGACUCAGCUCCCACAUGCAGGAGGAGGGGAUAACUCUGGAUUGGAUGAAGCUGGGGUAGAGGAGAUGGGGUCAGGAAUGAUCAAUGCCAAAACAAGCCUCCACCCACAGCCCCUGUCUCAAUGAACCCCCUACUAGACCUUCACACAAUCUCUGGCUUGGUUGCACAUGCUAACAGGACCUGACAAAAUCACCCGUGGAUUCUCAUGCGAGGGCACAUAACAGCCUCCUGAUGUACCUACAACACAGAACCCUAGAUGGAAUAUUUUGACAGAAUUAGCUGUUGGGAUUGCCUGCUCCAAUUUUCUUCAGAGAUGACUACUGGUUGGAUUUGAUUUGACCUGUUGUUUUGCUCUAAAACAAUCACCUGGAUAAUUCAGUUGACAUCUCCCAUCUCUGGAAAUAUCUAUGUCAGUGAAGCAAAGACACAUAAUUGAGAUGCUGUAGCUACAACUCUCCAGGUAACUGUCCUUGUCCCUCUUCUCGUGGAAACUGCCUGACCUUACUUCCUCCAAGUCUCUGGGCUUUGAGUACUUAAACAGGCCAACUUUUUGCUGGUGUUUUCUGUGGAACAGAGUUGCUAGGACUGGGGGACUAUUGCCUGGGAGGAGCCGGUCACUAACCUCCAGUCACCCUAUCAAUUUCAAGUGGUUGGAUCUGUUUGGCUACAAAAAUGGUGGUACCACAUCAAAGGGAGAAGGAUGAGGGACAUCCCAUUUGGUUAUUCAAGUGGGGGCAGAUCUAGGGCUCUCAGGUCUGACUGAAGGAAGAGAAGUUUGACUUGGGGUAGUGGAACAGACAGAUGGUCAGGGGAGGUGGUCUGGCAGAGAGAAAUAAAGGGCAGAGAAACAAAUAUGGAGCCUACUCCAGGUGGGGAAUAAGGAAGAUUAAAGUCUCUGGGGUGAAGCCAGUGAGGUAGGCUAGGGAAAGGUGGGUGGAAAGCAAAUGCUGCUUGCUGAUAUUAACAACUUGCUUCAAAAAACAUUGUUAUGAAUCUGGGUGAAGUCCCAACAGUGGUUUUCUCCAGACAAAUGAACCAGAGAGGGACAGAGAAAGCGUAGCUCAUCCCAGCGUUGGCAGGGUUUGGCCUCAGCUGCUGGGCUGACCUAGGUUGGUCAGACGUGAGGCUGCAGUGUGGAAAGCUCUGUAAGUGUGUGACUAGGAUGCAGAGGUGUGAAGGGCAGUGUGGGGCUGAGGAAGCAGGUUUGCAGUCCGCCCCAGUGUACGUGGCUUAGUGACUAUGUUGUUAUUCUGUUGUCAUCUGUGUGGUGGAGUGCUUUAUGUUUGUCUUUAUAAACCCAGAUUAGAGGAUGAAGGCAACAUACACGCUCCUCUGCCUCAAGUCUGGUUAUUUUAGGGAGAUGCUAGGUUGCUUUAGAUCUGCCUUACUGAGAAAACGGCCCCAAGUCAUUGUCAUGUCCAGUUGUGGUAGACAGCAUGUGUCCUAAAGGGCAUAUUCACAUGCACGUGCAAAAACAUAGGGAUCCUUCGACCCUAUCCAGAGAAGCAGGAUACUGCAAGAUUAGUCAAGAUGCUAAGUGAUGACAGGUUAUUUGAUUCCAAAAGAAUAAGGACGUUUCCCUGUUAGAAAGAGGAUGUUUCCUACACCAGCCAUCCUGAGAAACAGAUUAAUUGCUACAGGUUUCUGCAAAGACAAGGGUGAUGCCUUAAGUGCAUGAGUACCUGUACCCCUCUGACCUGUGGGAAGGAGGCCUGAACCCCCACUACCAGGGCUCAGUUUCCCUUGACGGGACCACAAGGGCAGAACAAACUUGGGGCUAGGGUGCGGCCUGUUUGGAGGCAGUGGUUCCGAGCUGUGAGAACUCGCUGUCAGUUUCAGACUAGGACAGUUAGCAAAGUGGAAAGGGACUAGCAUAGCCUUCCCAGGAGCUAGGGAAAUGAACACCCCUCUCCCCACUGCCUCCCUACCCCUCCGAUUUUUCUACAGCUGCUCUUUUAGGGGCCCCUUCAAGGGAAUGGCUGGGAACUAGCAACAGAAUCCCAAGAAUGAGGCGGCUGGAGGUGGGGGCUAGGGUUCCGGAAACACCCGGCGUCAGAACUGCAGUCUUUGCUGGAGAGGCCGCCGCCGGCCUGGAGCUCAGGGCCGGAGGGUUGGGCGGAAGGCCCUAGGGCUAGGAGGGUAGAGGCAGGACGGGCAGCGGAGAUAACCUCAUUCCCCAUCUUCCUGCCGGUACAAAGGCGACCUUAGAAGCUCUGGCCCAUUUUCGUUGCGGGUCCGGGAGAGGGGGGAGGGCUGGGUCUCUACAGCCCCAUCCCGGCGUUGCUCCCAGGCCCUGAAAGUUCCUGAUCUCGGGGAAACAGCAUCGAUAACCGGCCCAAUCCUGGUCUUCGCCUGCCCCUCCCCUUCGGGCCUCGAGAGCAGCACCGACCUUCGGGGUCCGGGACGGUUCCGCAUUCGCUUUUCCCCUUCCACUGCCUCGGUAAGCGGAGACGCCUCUUCCCCGCGCGCCAGGACCGCGGCGCCCAAGCGCGCUGCGCACAGAGCACAGACAUGUUCCUUUUCGUUCGUGUGGGGUUUCGUUUGUUGCAUUAAAACGGGGCUGAAAAGAGCAUCGCUGAGACCCGGUUCUCUAGAAAACGCGGCGCGGGAGGGCCCGAGACGGCUCGACUCCCAGCCCCGAGGCCUGGCCGGGACUGGAGGGCGCAGAGCUGCCGGGGAGCGCAGCGGUCUGCAGCGGCGACGAUGGGCCACGAAGCCACAGCGCUUCAGGGUUCGAAAAGUCCUUCAGUACCCAACGGAUUUCCGGGUCUGAAAACGCAGCCACACUUGGGUUCAUCUCCGCGUCCAGACUCGGUUCUUAAGAGAAAAAUCCAACUGUUUGUGCAACUCGAUAACGUACCCGCUAGAACUGAGGGCUAGGAGACCGGCGGCAAUUUCCAAGAGGGUUUUGCGGAGGAUUUAUUCGCCUCGCCCGGCGGGAGAAGCUCAGAGCCGGAGCUGGAUCUCUCUUGAGGCGCCCCCGGCUCUCGGCGCCCCGAGGCGGGAACUGCGGCGCGGAGGGCAUCGGGGACUAUAUUCGAAGCCGAGGGUACGGCCCAGGAGGCCGCCUCCGGACAAGCUGAACCGCUGGAGGCCACAGUACUUAGGAGCGGCCCCGCCCUCUCCUCCUAGCUCCUGUCCCUCCACCAGCCUCCAACCCGCCAGCCCCUCGGCAGGCCGAGGUGGACUGAGGGCUCCCACACUGCCCCAACUCCAACUUGGCCCCUGAGCGCCAGGUUUCGAGACCCAGGCUGUGGAUCGAGCCCACGGAGGACCACGGUAGAUUGCUCAAUUUUGAAAACCUCCUCAUUUUAUCAGUAAACAUUUAUUUUUAAGUGGCAGAAACUCUUGCCCAAGGCAGAGGACAUUGUAGGCAUUUUUGUUUUUUCGGAUUUGGAUUUGGGCAAGUCUUUGAAAUCUUCAAAGAGGAGAUAAAGCUGCCCACAACAAUUCUUAUUCUAGUAAUUACAUUCUCUGGUUUUGUGGGAUCUGCCAGGUCAGCAUCUAUUGGCCAGGUGGGGCUGAAAAAAUUGCCUGACAAAUCGGGACCCGGGAAAGCAGCUUUCUGUGAAAGUCAAAGCGUCAAGAGAACACCCUGCUGUGAGCACCAUGAGCAUCCAAAGCCUGUUAGAUUGUCCCAUCCAGCCUUCAGGCAGAAAGAACCAUGGAUCCGAGGACAGUCUGAGAGAUGGCCUGGGGUUAAGAUGGUCUCGGAUGAGGCCAGGACGGAGGUGACAUAGCUACCUGACAUCCCAACCUGACAAGUAGGAGACCCAGAUGCUCUGAGAAGUGACUGCCCAGGCCACGAGACAAGCCACAGAAGCCCAAGUCCAGUGGGCCAUCUCCUAAAGCUGGGUGGCCCAGUGGCCACACCCUGUGUAGGAAGGGAAGGAGCAGACCUGCUUUUCAGGGCUUGAACUUCCUGGAGAGCCUCCGGGCCCUUGGGAAUCUCCCUCUGCCGACUAAGGCCUCAGAAUUCUCUGGGAGGAACAGGCAUGCACACACUCUCACACUUACACACACACAGUCCUAUGACAGCUUCUACAUUUGGAGCUGACAGAUGUGCAAGGUAACAGCUCGGCAACGCCUGUGCAGCUGAGGCCCUGGCGUCGCGAACAGGAUUAUUUCCAGCAAAGCUCAGGGCGGCUGCGUGAGCGCACGCCCGGGUGUGUGUGUGUGUGUGUGAGUGUGCGUAUGUGAGAGAGAGAAGGAGGGAGGGAGAGAGGGAGUAUGAGCGUGUGCGAGUGUGUGAGGGUGUGUGGCUUCUCCCGCCAUCUCUCUCCCUCCAUCUAAAUCUGUCUUACUAUAUUUUCGAAUCUUUCUGCCUCUCUGUUUCCCCCUGUGUUUCUGCCCCUCUCUCCAUCUUCCUCUCUCACUGUCCGGCUUGCCCUGUCUCUGUCUUUGAUUCUCAUGGUGUCUGCUUUUGUUUCUCUGCUUGGAUGCUCCAGAGCAGAGAGGGGACUUACCUCCUUUCUACUCCUCACUUUGCCCCUGGUCCCUUUCUUGUGUCACCUGAGCAGGCCAGAAGGAGGGACUCAGAAAAAGCCCAUUUUGUUCCAGAAAAUGAUGCAGCUGUCUCUGUCCUCUGCACAGGGCUCCUGUCCUGCCCGGGGGGUUAGAUAGGGGAUCUGGGGCUGUCCUGGGGCGGUCCUGUGGAUAAGAGACCGCUAGACAGCUUUCAGAUUAGUUAGCUGAGGAACCAUGCUGAGCCACUGAGGUCAGCAGGGGGAGAAGCCCCCAAGGGAUAGGCAUGGCCUUCUCUCUCCCUUCCUCCUUUCCCCCAACUCCUCACUGAAAACAGAAAUCCGAGGUCUCCCAGGUCACAUGAAGAGCUCUUAGGGCUGAGGAUGCACUUAGCAUGGAUGAAAGGAGAGACAAAGGGUGAGGUAGGGGAGGCUGGCUGGGAAGUAACAAUAAUUCCCUGGUGGGAGUGGGCUCUACUUCAAAAGUGUGAGACAACAUCUGCGCUCUGCGCUGCUCCUUGUCUCCCAGCACAGCAGGUGGGAGACCUCAGGACUGGGGAGUAGGGCAAGGAUGGCUGGCUCCAGGCUCAGAGCCCUGCCUUCUAUCGGCUCCUGCUGCUGACCCCAGAGGUUCGGAGUGAUUCCUCAGCUCACUUCCAGCAAGCUGUCUUGUGCUUUCUGGUCUAUUCCCCUUCUCUUUUACACCUCAGAUCACUGAGAGAUGAUGUGAAGGCUGGAGAGGUGCCACCCCACAGAGUCUCCACUGAGGGGACUGGGAGUCAUCUUCACCCACGUCCCUGUCACUACACAGGAGCCCAGCGGUGAGGGCACGCAUGGGCACUCUUGGGUAUGCUCACACAGGGGUGUGCACACCUGCCAUGUGAGUCAGAAUUAUCACGUGCAUUCUAGCCUACGCCGCCCUGUUCUGUGGGGAAAGACGAAAAUGAAGGAGGCCAGAAGGCAGCAUCCCAGGGCCCGGCUCUGUGGGGUGAGGCACGGGGAGAUGCUGGGAUGGAAUAGUCCUGGGCAAGUGACCCUGAUGGUUGACAACAGACUCAGCACCAGCUUGGCUAUGGGGCACGCGUGUGUAUUCAUGGGAAGAAGGACAAGAAUUGGGGAUUGAGGGGAAGCUCUUGACCACACUAAUCCCAGCUGGUCACGCUCUUGGACACUGACUUUUGCCUGGAAUAUUCCCCUCACUCCCCACUGCUCCUCACAAGCCAGCUGCUGGCCCCAGUGCAGGCAUAUUAAACACAAAACCAAAAACUGCCCAGUGUUCUCACACCAGAGACAAAGAGGAACCUUGUUUGUCUUUAGGCUCAUCUAUGGCCCUGCUCUUUCCAGCAGCUGGGCCCUGGGCGUGUGCAGGCAUGUAUUUGUAUGUGCACUCACAUGUGCUCAUGUGUGUGGUGGCCAAGGCCAGGUCAUGCAGACGGGGAACACAGAUGGUUAGCCCCUGGAGGGUGGCUGCUUAUGGCCUGGAAGCCACCACAAAAGCCUCCCUGCCCCAGUGUCGGGGGACUUGGGGAUGUUGAGUCCAGGGUUGGGAGCAAGGUCUGGGAAAUCCCUGCGGGUAGAGACUGUGAGUCACUGAAGAGGCCUUGGGACCUGGCAGGAAGAGUGAUGCUGCCCCUCCCUGAUCUCCCCAGUUCACUGGUGCCCGCCUCCCGGCCCCCCUCCCCUUCCAGUAUAGAAUCCUGGGCUGCAGGGAGAGACAGGCCAAGGGAGCACUUCCAAAGCUCCUAUGUCUGGGCUCAGAGAAGACAAAUGUCAGGCAUGGGAGGGCCUCGCCACCUCGUGGGGACAUGCGGUACUCCUCGCUAAGCUCCUGGGCAAUCAGCCUAGAGGGGAGGGAGGGAGUCAACCCCAGUGGAUUAUCCACAGAGUAGGACUGGCACUGACCACACUCACACUCCCACUGGAGCAAGGGGCCGAGGGAGGAAACCUACCCACCACCCACCAUGGCACAAAAGGAAGCCCAGACCGCCAUAAUCCACCACCUGACCACACAAGAAACGCCUCAGAGGAAGGUGUCCAGGAAGGAAUCUUGGAGUUCACUGCUCUAAGGAAACUGAAGCCCAGAGAGACAGCAGAGCUCUGCCCAACACCCCACGGCAGCUCUGUCACAGACAGUGUAGUGGGACUGAAGGUUCCUGACUCCAAAACUCAUGCAUUUUCCUGUAAGCCCAAGACAAGGUGUCCAGACCAGACUCCACCCUCACCUCCAGGAGGCUGAAUAGGGGCAGUACUGUGAGAGUUUUUGCCUCAAGUCAGCCAGGGGAGGAUGUCUGGGCUGACUAGAGGAGAGGAGGCUGCCAGCCGGGCUCCAGGAUGAUCUGGAUCUUGAUAUUGAAAGGCAAUAAACACUAGCAUCUACGGGGCACUUAUCGACCGGAAUGCUAGCACUGUGUUGAGCAUUUACAAACAUUAGAUCACUCAAUGUUCAAAACAACCCUUUAGGGUAGGUGCCAUUAGAAUCCACAUUUUUCAGAUGAGGAAACUGAGGCACAGAGAAGAAACUUGCCCUGGGUUACCAGCUGGUAAGUGGCAGAGCAGGAACCUGAGCCCAACGAUUUUGACUUCAGUGGGGGCGUGAGGGCAAGGGCUAUGCUGGACCAGUAAAGAGUUCGCUCAUUCCCUUCUAGGGGACCAGGCAGGGUGUUGCCAACUUCAGCCGCUGGCCUGCCUUUCAGCGAGAGGAGCUGCCCGGGGUUCUCUGGGAGGCGCAGCCUCCUUGCGCCCUCUGCUGAGCACAACGAGGAGUUCCCUUCUGCACACUCAAGAGGCAGGCUGAGUCCUGUAGUCAGCGGGCAGGGGACCACGUUCCCUCCUCCCAAAUAUGGCUGGGGCCAGGGUGCUGGCUGCAGACCACCGCGGCUGUGACGCUCCCAGCCCAGCCUACGUUCACCAACCUGCACAAGGGUUGGCUUGGUUGCAGCCCUGAUUUCAGAGCUUCCCUCUCUUGGAAUCUUGCCCAUCUCCUCCAAAGGCAUGCUGGUCCCAAGCCCACCCCACCGAGGACCUGGACCAUGGGCCAGAUGGACAAUGCCAAGAGGGCCAACAGCAGCUGGCAUCCAUUCACAGCAUUGCCAUGUGGACAGGGGGAGAAAUUGGGAAUCCACAGAAAGUCAGGGAGAGGACCCAGGCUCCAGGAACAAGCGGAGAGCAGGCUGUAAGUUGGGUGCUGAAAGAUGGGUAUUCUGAACAGCCCAGGGUGAGAAAAGGGCUGUCAAGGCUGGGGUCAGUGAGGGCAACAGCACAAAAAAGCAGGCAUCUGGGCAUGCUGACUGUGGGCAACUUUGGACCUGGGCUUGCCAUUGAGUGGGGCUCA